AUUGAACGCUGGCGGCGUGCUUAACACAUGCAAGUCGAUCGGUAACAGGUGUAGCAAUACAUGCUGACGAGAGGCGGACGGGUGAGUAAUGCUUGGGAAUCUGCCUAUUAGUGGGGGACGAACCCGGGGAAACGUACGGCGUAAUGCCGCAUACGAUCCACGGAUGAAAGACGGGGGACGUUUCGGUCCGUCGCGCUAUGAGAUG
rnacentral:rRNA from 1 species